rnacentral:rRNA from 1 species
CCUACGGGUGGCAGCAGUGGGGAAUAUUGCACAAUGGGCGCAAGCCUGAUGCAGCCAUGCCGCGUGUGUGAAGAAGGCCUUCGGGUUGUAAAGCGCUUUCAGCGGGGAGGAAGGCGUUAAGGUUAAUAACCUUGGCGAUUGACGUUACCCGCAGAAGAAGCACCGGCUAACUCCGUGCCAGCAGCCGCGGUAAUACGGAGGGUGCAAGCGUUAAUCGGAAUUACUGGGCGUAAAGCGCACGCAGGCGGUCUGUCAAGUCGGAUGUGAAAUCCCCGAGCUCAACCUGGGAACUGCAUUCGAAACUGGCAGGCUAGAGUCUUGUAGAGGGGGGUAGAAUUCCAGGUGUAGCGGUGAAAUGCGUAGAGAUCUGGAGGAAUACCGGUGGCGAAGGCGGCCCCCUGGACAAAGACUGACGCUCAGGUGCGAAAGCGUGGGGAGCAAACAGGAUUAGAUACCCCUGUAGUC